CCAAACUUCGGGAGAAGGGGGGCCUCCGCUGGUGAUCAGACUUGCUUUGUGAGCUGGUAGGGGUCGCAGAGGCCAGGGGGAAGCGACUGUUUACUAAAAACACAGGUCCGUGCGAAGUCGUAAGACGAUGUAUACGGACUGACGCCUGCCCGGUGCUGGAACGUUAAGGGGACCGGUUAGCGCAUCUUCGGGUGUGCGAGGCUGAGAACUUAAGCGCCAGUAAACGGCGGUGGUAACUAUAACCAUCCUAAGGUAGCGAAAUUCCUUGUCGGGUAAGUUCCGACCUGCACGAAUGGCGUAACGACUUCCCCGCUGUCUCAACCGCAGACCCGGCGAAAUUGCACUACGAGUAAAGAUGCUCGUUACGCGCAGCAGGACGGAAAGACCCCGGGAUCUUCACUACAGCUUGACAUUGGCGUUUGGAACGUCUUGUGUAGGAUAGGUGGGAGACUGUGAAGCUGUCACGCUAGUGGCGGUGGAGUCAUUGGUGAAAUACCACUCUGGUCGUUUUGAACGUCUAACUUCGGUCCGUGAUCCGGAUCAGGGACAGUGUCUGGUGGGUAGUUUAACUGGGGCGGUUGCCUCCUAAAGAGUAACGGAGGCGCCCAAAGGUUCCCUCAGCCUGGUUGGUAAUCAGGUGUCGAGUGUAAGUGCACAAGGGAGCUUGACUGUGAGACCGACGGGUCGAGCAGGAGCGAAAGCUGGGACUAGUGAUCCGGCGGUGGCAUGUGGAAGCGCCGUCGCUCAACGGCUAAAAGGUACCCCGGGGAUAACAGGCUGAUCUUCCCCAAGAGUCCAUAUCGACGGGAUGGUUUGGCACCUCGAUGUCGGCUCGUCGCAUCCUGGGGCUGGAGUAGGUCCCAAGGGUUGGGCUGUUCGCCCAUUAAAGCGGUACGCGAGCUGGGUUUAGAACGUCGCGAGACAGUUCGGUCCCUAUCCGCUGCGCGCGCAGGAGACUUGAAAGGAGCUGUCCCUAGUACGAGAGGACCGGGACGGACGAACCUCUGGUGUGCCAGUUGUUCCGCCAGGAGCAUGGCUGGUUGGCUACGUUCGGAAGGGAUAACCGCUGAAAGCAUCUAAGCGGGAAGCUCGCCUUGAGAUGAGGUCUCCCACCACGUGAGUGGGUAAGGCCCCCGGGAGACGACCGGGUUGAUAGGCCGGAGGUGGAAGCAUGGUAACGUGUGGAGCUGACCGGUACUAAUAGGCCGAGGACUUGACCAC
rnacentral:rRNA from 1 species